rnacentral:lncRNA from 1 species
CACUGAACUAUGAAAAAGAGGUUCAAGACAAUCAUAUUAAAACAGAUAAAUUGUAAUAUUGGGGCUAAAGAUACCAGAUGAACAGCAAACUCAUAAAUCGAAAAUAAUCUUACAUUCCAUGACUAAAACUGAAAAAGACAUGCAGACCAAUAAAAGUACACUAGAAACAACAUAGAAAACUAAAGACUGAGCAACACGAACCCC